UACGUAGGGUGCAAGCGUUAAUCGGAAUUACUGGGCGUAAAGCGUGCGCAGGCGGUGAUGUAAGUCAGGUGUGAAAGCCCCGGGCUCAACCUGGGAAUUGCAUUUGAGACUGCGUAGCUAGGGUGCGGAAGAGGGAAGCGGAAUUUCCGGUGUAGCGGUGAAAUGCGUAGAUAUCGGAAGGAACACCAGUGGCGAAAGCGGCUUCCUGGUCCAGCACCGACGUUCAGGCACGAAAGCGUGGGGAGCAAACAGG
rnacentral:rRNA from 1 species